CUUAAGCAUAUCAAUAAGCGGAGGAAAAGAAACCAACAGGGAUUGCCCCAGUAACGGCGAGUGAAGCGGCAACAGCUCAAAUUUGAAAUCUGGCUCUCGGGCCCGAGUUGUAAUUUGUAGAGGAUGCUUUUGGUGAGGUGCCUUCCGAGUUCCCUGGAACGGGACGCCAUAGAGGGUGAGAGCCCCGUCUGGUUGGACGCCGAACCUCUGUAAAGCUCCUUCGACGAGUCGAGUAGUUUGGGAAUGCUGCUCUAAAUGGGAGGUAUAUGUCUUCUAAAGCUAAAUACCGGCCAGAGACCGAUAGCGCACAAGUAGAGUGAUCGAAAGAUGAAAAGAACUUUGAAAAGAGAGUUAAACAGUACGUGAAAUUGUUGAAAGGGAAGCGCUUGUGACCAGACUUGGGCUUGGUUGAUCAUCCGGGGUUCUCCCCGGUGCACUCUUCCGGCUCAGGCCAGCAUCAGUUCGCCCUGGGGGAUAAAGGCAUCGGGAACGUGGCUCUCUCCGGGGAGUGUUAUAGCCCGUUGCGUAAUACCCUGUGGCGGACUGAGGUUCGCGCAUUCGCAAGGAUGCUGGCGUAAUGGUCAUCAGUGACCCGUCUUGAAACACGGACCAAGGAGUCGUCUUCGUAUGCGAGUGUUCGGGUGUCAAACCCCUACGCGAAAUGAAAGUGAACGCAGGUGAGAGCUUCGGCGCAUCAUCGACCGAUCCUGAUGUUAUCGGAUGGAUUUGAGUAAGAGCAUACGGGGCCGGACCCGAAAGAAGGUGAACUAUGCCUGUGUAGGGUGAAGCCAGAGGAAACUCUGGUGGAGGCUCGCAGCGGUUCUGACGUGCAAAUCGAUCGUCAAACAUGGGCAUGGGGGCGAAAGACUAAUCGAACCUUCUAGUAGCUGGUUUCCGCCGAAGUUUCCUU
rnacentral:rRNA from 1 species